CCUACGGGUGGCAGCAGUAGGGAAUAUUGCUCAAUGGGGGAAACCCUGAAGCAGCAACGCCGCGUGGAGGAUGAAGGUUUUCGGAUUGUAAAACCCUUUUGUUAGAGAUGAUAAUGACGGUAUCUAACGAAUAAGCACCGGCUAACUUCGUGCCAGCAGCCGCGGUAAUACGGAGGGUGCAAGCGUUACUCGGAAUCACGGGGCGUAAAGCGCGCGUAGGCGGGAUAGCAAGUCAGAUGUGAAAUCUUAUGGCUUAACCAUAGAACUGCAGUGGAAACUGUUAUUCUAGAGUAUGGGAGAGGUAGGUGGAAUGCGUGGUGUAGGGGUGAAAUCCGUAGAGAUCAAGAGGAAUACUCAUUGCGAAGGCGACCUGCUAGAACAUAACUGACGCUGAUGCGCGAAAGCGUGGGGAGCAAACAGGAUUAGAUACCCCGGUAGUC
rnacentral:rRNA from 1 species